rnacentral:misc_RNA from 1 species
CACAAUGAAUAAUCUGUUAUUUGUUACAUGGACAUGGAAUUACGUUAUUUGUGGUUCUAGCUAGUCUGCAGUAAGACGUGCAUAGUGUUCGACGGAAUAUUCUCAGAUGUAUAAAAUGAAGUUUAUUUGUCUAUUAAUUGUUUAUUUUAUUUUAACAAGUAUAGUGACAAAAGGAUUUCCGAACAACGAUAUAAUUGUGUUUAGUGAUGAUGACUCUGUGAGCCCUAGAAAGAAUCAAAAGUUGAUCCAAAAUGAUAAUGGUCAAGUUACUCUUGAAUAUAAAUCAUUUUUUAAUUUCCCAAAAAAAUGUCCGGUAAAGCAUGUAAAGGUCGGCACGUUUUGUUUUCCUGAGUAGCGAUAACAAAAGAGGUUAAAGUGAUAACCAUAUUCCGUGUUUUUGAACUCAAAGAUAAUGUAUUUGAACAAAGCAAUUUAACGCCAGUACGAAAACAAAAAUUAAAUAUGAAAAAGGCAUCAUAUAUCUUUAAAUUAUAAACACAUAAAGGAAAUAUCAAAAUAGUACAAAGGAAUGGAUUAGUAGAUGUCAGCAACGUGUGAAAGUACAAAACCUGAAAUUUAGCUCUAUACUCAAUGUCCCAACUUGUAGUGUGCUUCAAAUACCAUAUUUGAUCGGUUAUCGAAAAUCUAAAUUCAACAGAAAGCGUAUAAAAAACUACAAACAUUAAAGAUUGAUUUACAGGAAAUUCGAUCAUCAAGAAGUUAGCAAGAUUUACCCAAACAGCCUUUCUUAAAAUAAACGUCACCCUAUUAAUAAUCAAAUUAUUGUGAUUUAAUUACUUUGUGGCACGAAUUAAGACGAAAGGGUCUUUGGUAUUUGAAUAAAAUGUUCCUGUCUUGCUGUAAGCCGUCGCUGCGCCCCGAGCCAAGAAAGGGACAACUGCACCUCGGACCGUUUUAGGUAGACAAUUAUUGACCAAAACAGCAGUCGGCUGUUCCAAAACAUAGCGAUUUUUUUUAAAUUUUCUUUUAUGUAACUAAGAAAACCUUCAGCUAUGCCCCUAUGUUCUGAUUUUUUUUGUAAAUAUCCGCAUUUUUUAUGAGUGUUUCAAAAUGAUAUUAAAAAAUUUGACAAUAUUUCUAGUUUUUGAAGACUCCUACUCCCUAUGAUAAUAAUAUUAUGAAAAAAACCAAGUCACAUGGGCAUGGUCAUGGCAGUAAAGGUUUUAUGUUGGAAAAAUAUCUGAUCUAGGGUCACUAUCCAGGGAGGAAACAGUCGACUACGUUUGUAUGGAGAAAGAGCCGGUAUCCUUUAGUCUUAAACACGAAAAUUUAUUGUUGUGUUUAAUUCGUGGUUAAUUUUCAAUUUCUACUAUUAUUUACAAUCUCCUUAUUAGAUUGUAUAACAUAUACCAAGUCAAAGUACUUGUUCUCUAAAUAAUCAGUAUAUUGGGUAUUUAUCAGUAAAACUAAGUAUUUUAUAUUAAUGUAGUUUUUUUUUCACAUAUUUAUUCAUUAAUGAUAUGAAAUUGAUUAUUUUAGUUUUAUACAGGAGAAAUUUACUUAAGUAAAAUGCAGGUGUAUAGUGAUAUUAAUUUGUAUUGUUAUUCCUAAACAAAUCUAUGUAUAUUAUAUUUUUAUUAUCGAAUAUUGUACAGAUUCGUUAACAAAUGUAACACAUACAUUAUAUGUAAAUAAAGUGUUUAUAUGUAAUAAAGCUGAAUAUUUUAUUUGUCGUUAUUCGAUACGAAAAAACUAUAUUACUUUAUGCAAGCCAUAGUAUUACACUUAUCUAUAAUAUGUAAGUACUAUUUAUAACUAUACUGUUAAA